rnacentral:rRNA from 1 species
UACGUAGGGUGCGAGCGUUGUCCGGAAUUACUGGGCGUAAAGAGCUCGUAGGUGGUUUGUCGCGUUGUUCGUGAAAACUCACAGCUCAACUGUGGGCGUGCGGGCGAUACGGGCAGACUGGAGUACUGCAGGGAGACUGGGAAUUCCUGGUGUAGGCGGUGGAAGUGCGCAGAUAUCAGGAGGAACACCGGUGGCGAAGGCGGGUCUCUGGGCCGAUAUUGACGCUGAGGAGCGAAAGCGUGGGGAGCGAACAGG